rnacentral:rRNA from 1 species
UAGGGAAUCUUCCGCAAUGGACGCAAGUCUGACGGAGCAACGCCGCGUGAGUGAAGAAGGAUUUCGGUUCGUAAAACUCUGUUGUUAGAGAAGAACAGCGCAUAGAGUAACUGUUAUGCGUGUGACGGUAUCUAACCAGAAAGCCACGGCUAACUACGUGCCAGCAGCCGCGGUAAUACGUGGGUGGCAAGCGUUGUCCGGAUUUAUUGGGCGUAAAGCGAGCGCAGGCGGUCAAUUAAGUCUGAUGUGAAAGCCCCCGGCUCAACCGGGGAGGGUCAUUGGAAACUGGUUGACUUGAGUGCAGAAGAGGAGAGUGGAAUUCCAUGUGUAGCGGUGAAAUGCGUAGAUAUAUGGAGGAACACCAGUGGCGAAGGCGACUCUCUGGUCUGUAACUGACGCUGAGGUUCGAAAGCGUGGGUAGCAAACAGG